GUGGUCAGAGUAUCCGAGGUGGGGGCGUGGCUCCGCCCGGUACGCACCGGAAAUGUUUGUGUAAACGAAAUCCAGCGCGUUCGCUUCUCUCGUUGCAAACGAGACGCUAUAGGAUAGUGUACCACGCCGACCUUAGCAUCAUUAGCAAUCGUUAGUCAAGGUUUAUGAUUUUACAUCUUAGAUGCAAAACGGUGUUAUUCAAGUCCAGAUAAUCAUCACCAUUGCCUGCCACAUAUAAUUCGAUCAGAGAACUGUCGGUAAUGGCUGAAAGCAGUGGGAUUUCUACGUAUGUGUACUUUUCGAUACUCAUUUGGGUGUAAGAGGAAGAGGAUGAAGAACGCUUGUUACUUCUUCGUCUGUUCUUCUUCACACUGACUUUACUCUUGGUGAUCUUAUGAUUUUUAUUUAUGGAUACAGCACGCCUACCUGGAGGACGUCUAGCGUUCUUGACAACUCGACAUCUGGAGGAGGUUUAGUGGUGUUCUCAAUCAGUCCAGCUACAUCUCAACUACAGGACUUCACAAACUCAGGAGGGCUUUGGAACUGCCAAUCUGCUGUCC